rnacentral:rRNA from 1 species
CAAACUAAAGAUGGCGACCGGCGCACGGGUGAGUAACACGUAUCCAACCUGCCGAUAACUCGGGGAUAGCCUUUCGAAAGAAAGAUUAAUAUCCGAUAGUAUAUUAGAACCGCAUGGUUUUACUAUUAAAGAAUUUCGGUUAUCGAUGGGGAUGCGUUCCAUUAGUUUGUUGGCGGGGUAACGGCCCACCAAGACUACGAUGGAUAGGGGUUCUGAGAGGAAGGUCCCCCACAUUGGAACUGAGACACGGUCCAA